rnacentral:lncRNA from 1 species
AAAGCUUUCUAGAAAGUAAACUUACUGUUUUUUGCCAGAAUGUGUAGGUUGGGGUGAGGGGUAAGAGAAUUCAUUCAGCUGCAUAAAACAGAGAUGGGAUCUUCCAAUGAAUCCUCAAAACUUCUAGACAGUACCUCUAGUUUCUGAGUCCUUCUAGGAGAAAUCUGUAUUGUGAGUUGAGCUUUCUAGUCACUUUACUUCUCUCAGACCCCUGCUCCUGCCCCCAUUACUUGCAAGAUUGCAAUUUUCUGUUAUCUCUAAUAAAUCUUUUACUGUCACUUUUGUGGGGUUGGGACAAAGUAGUGAUAAAUGUGUGAAUGUAAUAUACUGUGUUUAAUGGGUCAAGUAGAAUUCUUUAUUUUUCUAAAUUAUCUAAUAAAAAUUCAUAUUGAUGUAUGUGUUUUAAUAAUUUGGUAGUAAAGAAACACAUGCAUGUAAUUUGUACACACAUAUUUGAAGGUGUGCUCAAAAUAUUACUGCUGGAAGGUAUUGGAUAAGAAACACAUUAGAAACUACUAAUUUUAAAGAUAUAUAGUUAAAUUUUUGAAAACUAUUUGAAUAUUAAGAUGUUGAACAGGAUUUCUUAAGUCAGAAAUACUAAAAAAUUUGCAAGAGAAAAACAUAAU